rnacentral:rRNA from 1 species
AUUCCAGCUCCAAUAGCGUAUAUUAAAGUUGUUGCGGUUAAAAAGCUCGUAGUUGGAUUUCUGCUAGGGACGAUCGGUCCACCCACUGGGUGUGUAUCUGUGUCGGCCUUGGCAUCUUCCUGGCGAACGCAACUGCACUUGACUGUGUGGUGCGGUAUCCAGGACUUUUACUUUGAGGAAAUUAGAGUGUUUCAAGCAGGCGCACGCCUUGAAUACAUUAGCAUGGAAUAAUAAGAUAGGACCUGAGUUCUACUUUGUUGGUUUCUAGAGCUGAGGUAAUGAUUAACAGGGACAGUCAGGGGCACUCGUAUUCCGCCGAGAGAGGUGAAAUUCUCAGACCAGCGGAAGACGAACCACUGCGAAAGCAUUUGCCAGGGAUGUUUUCAUUG